GAUUUCUGGUUCGACAUGCCCGACCUAGUGUGGCGACACAUUAAGUGUCGGUGUGUGUCUGCCAUCUUUGCCAGAGAACGGCGCCUCCCUUAAAUGGGCCGGCGUCGCCAUCUGGAUCAUUUACUUUGAAAAAAUUAGAGUGUUUCAAGCAGGCUUUAUGCUAUGAAUACAUUAGCAUGGAAUAAUAAUUUAGGACUUCGGUUCUAUUUUGUUGGUUUCUAGGACUGAAGUAAUGAUUGAUAGGGAUAGUUGGGGGUGCUAGUAUUCAGCGGCCAGAGGUGAAAUUCUCGGAUUCGCUGAAGACUAACUUAUGCGAAAGCAUU
rnacentral:rRNA from 1 species